GGCGGACGGGUGCGUAACACGUGAGGAACAUGCCUAUCGGCGGGGGAUAGCCGGUCCAACGACCGGGUAAUACCGCGUACGACCUUGGGUGGCAUCACCUGGGGGUGAAAGCAGCAAUGCACCGAUAGAGUGCCUCGCGGCCUAUCAGCUAGUUGGUGGGGUAAUGGCUCACCAAGGCGACGACGGGUAGCUGGUCUGAGAGGAUGACCAGCCACAUUGGGACUGAGACACGGCCCAGACUCCUACGGGAGGCAGCAGUGGGGAAUAUUGCGCAAUGGGCGAAAGCCUGACGCAGCGACGCCGCGUGUGGGAUGACGGUCUUCGGAUUGUAAACCACUGUCGAGGAGGGACGAAGCUCUGACGGUACCUCCAAAGGAAGCACCGGCCUAACUCUGUGCCAGCCGACGCGG
rnacentral:rRNA from 1 species